rnacentral:rRNA from 1 species
CCCGUUAUCCGGGUUGCGGACAGUGUCUGGUGGGUAGUUUGACUGGGGCGGUCUCCUCCUAAAGAGUAACGGAGGAGCACGAAGGUUGGCUAAUCCUGGUCGGACAUCAGGAGGUUAGUGCAAUGGCAUAAGCCAGCUUGACUGCGAGCGUGACGGCGCGAGCAGGUGCGAAAGCAGGUCAUAGUGAUCCGGUGGUUCUGAAUGGAAGGGCCAUCGCUCAACGGAUAAAAGGUACUCCGGGGAUAACAGGCUGAUACCGCCCAAGAGUUCAUAUCGACGGCGGUGUUUGGCACCUCGAUGUCGGCUCAUCACAUCCUGGGGCUGAAGUAGGUCCCAAGGGUAUGGCUGUUCGCCAUUUAAAGUGGUACGCGAGCUGGGUUUAGAACGUCGUGAGACAGUUCGGUCCCUAUCUGCCGUGGGCGCUGGAGAACUGAGGGGGGCUGCUCCUAGUACGAGAGGACCGGAGUGGACGCAUCACUGGUGUUCGGGUUGUCAUGCCAAUGGCACUGCCCGGUAGCUAAAUGCGGAAGAGAUAAGUGCUGAAAGCAUCUAAGCACGAAACUUGCCCCGAGAUGAGUUCUCCCUGACUCCUUGAGAGUCCUGAAGGAACGUUGAAGACGACGACGUUGAUAGGCCGGGUGUGUAAGCGCAGCGAUGCGUUGAGCUAACCGGUACUAAUGAACCGUGAGGCUUAACCUUACAACGCCGAAGGUGUUU